AACGCGAAGAACCUUUACCUGGGCUUGACAUGUUGGUAGUACUUCCCUGGAAACAGGGGGGGACCUUCGGGGAGCCAUCACAGGUGCUGCAUGGCAUAUCGUCAGCUCGUGUCGUGAGAUGUUGGGUUAAGUCCCGCAACGAGCGCAACCCCUGCCCGUAGUUGUAGCAGUUCGGCUGAGGACUUACGGGGACUGCCGGUGAUAAACCGGAGGAAGGUGGGGAUGACGUCAAGUCCGCAUGGCCCUUACGUCCAGGGCUACACACGUGCUACAAUGGAUGCUACAAUGGGUUGCGAAACCCGUAAGGUGGAGCCAAUCCCUGAAAAGUAUCCUCAGUCGAUUGGAGUCUGCAACUCGACUUCAUGAAGUUGGAUGCUAUA
rnacentral:rRNA from 1 species